rnacentral:rRNA from 1 species
GUGCUACGCAUCGGCACGUCCAUCUCGGUUGGCUCCGGGUCCUCGGCCCUGUUCUGGUUCGAUCGUUGGGUAGGGGACCCCCUGGCCGCUCGAUUCCUGGAUCUAUUUGCCAUUGCGGUCGACCCUCGGGUCUCUGUCGAGACGACCCUUAUUGACUUAGGGCGUCUCGCUUUCCAGCGCCCCUUCGGCCCCCUUGAGGUGGCCGCUUGGGACUCCCUCCUCCAGGACAUCGCCCUUCUUCCGAUGGAUGUCGAGGGCGCCCCUGACUCCAUCUCUUGGCGACUGGAGUCCUCCGGCCGCUACUCCACUACCCUAUACCCGACCAUCGCCCCCUCGUCGGCUUCUGAGCCCUUUAGCCUUAUAUGGGAAAUUCGCCUGCCUUUGAAGAUCAGGAUCUUCCUGUGGCAGUGGAUCCGGGGACGCCUUCCCUGUAGGGUAGAGGUCCUCAAGCGCAAUGGACCAGGCGACGGGAUAUGUCCCUUGUGUGGCACGGUGGAGGAUGCUAAUCACAUCUUCUUCUCUUGCACCACAGCCCAGUUCCUGUGGUCCUGCUUCCGUGAGACGGUCAAUGGACAGUGGUGCAACACCAACUUCCCUGACCUAUUUGUGGAGAUCCACGCCUCCGCCCCUCGCCACUGCCAUAUUAGAUGGCUGUACAUCGGGGUCCUCGCCUGGACGCUUUGGACCAUUCACAACAAGCUUGUUAUUCAGAAAGUGCCUCUUCGACGUGCGACUAACGCAAUCUUCAAAAUGUGUGGUUACUUGGAGCUCUGGCGACCGCUUAGCCGCCCCCAGGAUCAGGAUGCCAUCAACACCCUCCUCACCGACCUUUGCUCGAUGGCCUUCCGCGUGGCACUGCUACCUCUUGAGCACUGCGUUGGUUUUCCCUUGAAGAGGAAAGGGUGA